rnacentral:rRNA from 1 species
CCAACAGCAGCCACCCUAAGGUGGGGUGAAACUCGACCGGAGCAAGGAAAAGGAAGUUCCAACAGCAGCCACCCUAAGGUAGGGUGAAACUCGACCGGGCAAGGAAACUAAGUCCCAACAGCAGCCAUCCUAAGGUGGGAUGAAACUCGACCGGGCAAGAAAAUAGAAAACCUAGGUCAACUGGCCAAAAGUCCCAAACCGCAAAAGCCCCUAGGGAAAAGCAACCGGGCAACCGAGAUGGAGCAAUCUGCCUCUCAUCUCUGCCUAAAAAGCCAUAUGGGGUCUAACCCAUCUGAAAUAACCUGGCUAAUCACCCCUGCGUGUAUUGGUGCAGGGCAGCAACCUAGCCUCCCCCAGGAGGUAUUAGGAAGGAGGGGUUUAGUGGGUCGAGUAUAGCACUCAACCCCACACUACCUAAAGCCGUAAAUAAAUGGCUUAGGUGUCUGGCCACAGAUUCCCCCCCCUUGGCAAAANNNNNNNNNNNNNNNNAAAAAAAACGAUCAGAUACCGUUGUAGUCUUAACAGUAAACUAUGCCGACUAGGGAUCGGGUGACCUCAAUUUGAUGUGUCACUUGGCACCUUACGAGAAAUCAAAGUCUUUGGGUUCGGGAGGGAGUACUGAAACUUAAAGGAAUUGAUGGAAGGGCACCACCAGGAGUAGAGCCUGUGGCUUAAUUUGACUCAACACAGGGAAACUCACCAGGUCCAGACAUAACUAGGAUUGACAGAUUGAUAGCUCUUUCUUGAUUUUAUGGGUGGUGGUGCAUGGCUGUUCUUAGUUGGUGGAGUGAUUUGUCUGGUUAAUUCCAAUAACGAACGAGACCUUCCCAUGCUAAAUAGCCCGGCCGGCUUUGGCUGGUCGCCGGCUUCUUAGAUGGACUAUCAGUGUUUAGCUGAUGGAAGUUGGAGGCAAUAACAGGUCGGUGAUGCCCUUAGAUGUUCUGGGCCGCACACGCGCUACACUAACAGGGCCAGCGAGUUUAUCACCUUGGCCGGAAGGUCUGGGUAAUCUUGUGAAAACCUGUCAUGAUGGGGAUAGAGCAUUGCAAUUAUUGCUCUUCAACGAGGAAUUCCUAGUAGGUGUGAGUCAUCAGCUCACGUCAAUUACAUCCCUGCCCUUUGUACACACCGCCUGUUGCUACUACCGAUUGAAUGGCUUAGUGAGGUCUUCGGAUUGGCUUCGGGGAGCCGGCAAUGGCAUUCUGUUACCGAGAAGUUGAUCAAACUUGGUCAUUUAGAGGAAGUAAAAGUCAUAACAAGGUUUCCGUAGGUGAACCUGUGGAAG